rnacentral:rRNA from 1 species
GUGACUGCGUACCUUUUGUAUAAUGGGUCAGCGACUUAUAUUCUGUAGCAAGGUUAACCGAAUAGGGGAGCCGGAGGGAAACCGAGUCUUAACCGGGCGUUAAGUUGCAGGGUAUAGACCCGAAACCCGGUGAUCUAGCCAUGGGCAGGUUGAAGGUUGGGUAACACUAACUGGAGGACCGAACCGACUAAUGUUGAAAAAUUAGCGGAUGACCUGUGGCUGGGGGUGAAAGGCCAAUCAAACCGGGAGAUAGCUGGUUCUCCCCGAAAGCUAUUUAGGUAGCGCCUCGUGAAUUCAUCUCCGGGGGUAGAGCACUGUUUCGGCUAGGGGGCCAUCCCGGCUUACCAACCCGAUGCAAACUGCGAAUACCGGAGAAUGUUAUCACGGGAGACACACGGCGGGUGCUAACGUCCGUCGUGAAGAGGGAAACAACCCAGACCGCCAGCUAAGGUCCCAAAGUCAUGGUUAAGUGGGAAACGAUGUGGGAAGGCCCAGACAGCCAGGAUGUUGGCUUAGAAGCAGCCAUCAUUUAAAGAAAGCGUAAUAGCUCACUGGUCGAGUCGGCCUGCGCGGAAGAUGUAACGGGGCUAAACCAUGCACCGAAGCUGCGGCAGCGACACUGUGUGUUGUUGGGUAGGGGAGCGUUCUGUAAGCCUGUGAAGGUGUGUCGUGAGGC